CAGUAGCCACGGUAAUACGGAGGGUGCAAGCGUUAAUCGGAAUUACUGGGCGUAAAGCGCACGCAGGCGGUCUGUCAAGUCAGAUGUGAAAUCCCCGGGCUUAACCUGGGAACUGCAUUUGAAACUGGCAGGCUAGAGUCUUGUAGAGGGGUGUAGAAUUCCAGGUGUAGCGGUGAAAUGCGUAGAGAUCUGGAGGAAUACCGAUGGCGAAGGCAGCCAUCUGGCCUAAUACUGACGCUGAGGUACGAAAGCAUGGGGAGCAAACAGGAUUAGAUACCCGCGUAGUCCCUGUCUCUUAUAC
rnacentral:rRNA from 1 species